GUAGAAAAAUUUCAAAUUCCUUCACAUGGAUUUACAAAAAGCAAAGUUGAGUUAGUAAACAAAUUCAAUAUAGACCAUAAACUUAAAAUUUACCAAUACCCCUCCCUAUAAUAUACAUCUUACUUAAUCGGGUACGGGCUUUUCUCUCUCUUCUUAUCUCCCGUAGGCGUUUAAGCAAGUGGUUUCGCCUCUUGCGCGCACAGGUAACUGCAGCCUGCCCAAAAAUUGUGGAUGGGCUCAUCUCAUAGGUUACCCCCAAAUUUCUUAACCCAAUUAGAUGGGAUGAGAUAGUCCAAGCAUAGCUCUGCUGUUUCAUAUAGCGAUAAAGGGCAAUUGCGCUUAUUAUGACGUAAAAUUGAAAACAUUUUUAUUAAACAAUAUGGAAUUUUUUAAUUUACAAGAUAAGCAACUAAUUGCUUUAUAUUUACUAAAGAGAAGGAAAUCUACAAAGAGAAGAAGGAAGACCUCAAAAAUAUUUAUGGAGAGAAAUUUAUUUUCAGAGUAUAUUACUAUAAAAGCAGAUCUUACUCCAUCCCAAUUUUUCAAUUAUACAAGGAUGAGGAGAACGACUUUCUCCUACAUUCUAUAUGUAUUUUACAAACAUUAUCAUAUCCUUGGAGGGCUUACCUGAUGAUGUUGAUCAGAUAGAUAUCACGAACUUGAAUGUAAGACCUAUGUCUGUUAUUAGGGACAAUAAUGCAUCAUCUAAUGAAGCAAGGAAUAUCAGAAAUUCAUUCAAAAUUUUUUUAAAUUCAUAAAUGAUUUUAUAUUAUUAUUUAUUUUAUCUUAAUAUAUUUUUAUUUAUA